rnacentral:lncRNA from 1 species
GAGCUGGACCGGGGAAGAUGAAAUGAACUCACCGAAGCCUUUCCAUCAAGGCGUCUUCACCUGCAGGCGCACAGAAGUGGGCUCUUCGUCCUGAUCUCCCAACGCGUCACGGGAACCUUGGAGGGACACUGCCUCCCUCUGGCCCUGGGUUUGCUCUUCUGAGGAAGAAGAAUGUCUGGAGCAGACUGGGGCCCCUCCAGACCCACGCUGGCUGUCCUGGGAAGCUGGCACUAGGCACCGAAUACACAGUGGAAUUUUCCAGAGAUGACACGAUGUGUGACAUUGCAACAGACUGAAGCCACAGCAGAUCUGAGAAUCAUGGGGUCUUCUGCUAAGUCAGACGUUAAAGACAUUUGCAAAUGAAGAAACAAAGCCACUCUCCUAA